rnacentral:tRNA from 1 species
GAGGGAGGCUCGACAGCAGGUAAAGAUUGCUAAUCCUUAACCUCCUCGGUUAAACCCCGAGGCUUUCUCGA